ACGUGCCAGCAGCCGCGGUAAUACGUAGGGCGCAAGCGUUAUCCGGAAUUAUUGGGCGUAAAGAGCUCGUAGGCGGUUUGUCGCGUCUGCCGUGAAAGUCCGGGGCUUAACUCCGGAUCUGCGGUGGGUACGGGCAGACUAGAGUGCAGUAGGGGAGACUGGAAUUCCUGGUGUAGCGGUGAAAUGCGCAGAUAUCAGGAGGAACACCGAUGGCGAAGGCAGGUCUCUGGGCUGUAACUGACGCUGAGGAGCGAAAGCAUGGGGAGCGAACAGGAUUAGAUACCCUGGUAGUCCAUGCCGUAAACGUUGGGCACUAGGUGUGGGGGACAUUCCACGUUUUCCGCGCCGUAGCUAACGCAUUAAGUGCCCCGCCUGGGGAGUACGGCCGCAAGGCUAAAACUCAAAGGAAUUGACGGGGGCCCGCACAAGCGGCGGAGCAUGCGGAUUAAUUCGAUGCAACGCGAAGAACCUUACCAAGGCUUGACAUGAACCGGAAUGAUGCAGAGAUGUGUCAGCCACUUGUGGCCGGUUUACAGGUGGUGCAUGGUUGUCGUCAGCUCGUGUCGUGAGAUGUUGGGUUAAGUCCCGCAACGAGCGCAACCCUCGUUCCAUGUUGCCAGCGGGUUAUGCCGGGGACUCAUGGGAGACUGCCGGGGUCAACUCGGAGGAAGGUGGGGACGACGUCAAAUCAUCAUGCCCCUUAUGUCUUGGGCUUCACGCAUGCUACAAUGGCCGGUACAAAGGGUUGCGAUACUGUGAGGUGGAGCUAAUCCCAAAAAGCCGGUCUCAGUUCGGAUUGAGGUCUGCAACUCGACCUCAUGAAGUUGGAGUCGCUAGUAAUCGCAGAUCAGCAACGCUGCGGUGAAUACGUUCCCGGGCCUUGUACACACCGCCCGUCAAGUCACGAAAGUUGGUAACACCCGAAGCCGGUGG
rnacentral:rRNA from 1 species